GUCUGUUGCAUUGGGCAUGUAAGCUAUUUUUAUAAGACAAGAGGAGUGAGCAGGUGGAGCUGUUGUUGCCGUCUUUGUGUUUGUCGGGAUUGUCUCUUGUAUCUCAUGUUGUGGCUGGGUUUGUUUAUCUUUUAUUUGAUGGAUAAUAUGUAAACAAAAAUCAUUGUUAAUUGUAUUUAUCAGAGUUCAUAACUUACUCUGCUUUUUUUGUUUAGGUAAUUUCACUGAUCAUGGUUGUCGUUUUCGUCUUCUUCGUUGCGAAAGUAAGUUUGUAAAUUGUUAAAUAGCUGGCCGUGUAGUUUGUAUUUGUUUAGCUGACUCGAUAUAUGUGUCAUUGUGAAAGUAUGUUUGUAAAUUGUUAAAUAGCUGGCCGUGUAUUUUGUAUUUGUUUAGCUGACUUGAUGUAUUUGUCGUUGAGUUUUAGUUGAGGUGAUUGGUUUGGUAUAUUUGUUUUGAAGUUUAUUUCUGAG
rnacentral:lncRNA from 1 species